rnacentral:ncRNA from 1 species
AUGCCUGAUGGCUGAUGCUGUUUGCAUAUUAUAGAUUUCUAUCCCCGAGGCCAAGACAUUAUAUAUAUCACCAAUUCACUUGAGUGAGACAGAGGAGAGUGGAAUUUCUUGUGUAGGGGGGUGAAUUCUGGAGAUCUACAAAGGAAUGCCAAAAGCAAAGGCAGCUCUCUGGGCCCCUACUCCCUACCGACGCUGAGGUGCAAAAGCAUGGGGCAAAAACAGGAUUAGAUACCCUGGUAGUCCAUGUUGUAAACAUAUCACAUCUAGGGUUUGUGCGCACAAGCUGACUCGCACACCACUGCUAAGAAAAGU